GGAUGUGAGGGAAAUGUGGCUGCAACAUUUAUCACCUCAUUGCUCGCCAGGUUUGACUCAGCAGAUCUGCCUGGCUACACAGGUAUUCCCUUCCUUCCUCAAUGAGCCAUGUAUAUCCAUGCUAAACUGCACACCCAGUCAGAAAGGAUGAUAACCCCAUAGAGGAGGACCAUUCCUUGGUCAAGAUUGCAUGAGUAUCUGUGUUCCAUUGCUAGCAUCUCUAACCAAGCUCUCAAAGAUGGUUUUCUUAUUAUGCAGGACACAUGUGUAGAGUCAAGGUAGAAGAGUUCAUAAACUCUUAUAGCAAUUGAAUCCAAGUGGACUGGUCUUU
ensembl:misc_RNA 7SK 7SK RNA